UGACCUCGGAUCAGGUAGGGAUACCCGCUGAACUUAAGCAUAUCAAUAAGCGGAGGAAAAGAAACCAACCGGGAUUGCCUCAGUAACGGCGAGUGAAGCGGCAAGAGCUCAAUUUGAAAGCUGGCUCCUUCGGGGUCCGCAUUGUAAUUUGCAGAGGAUGCUUCGGGUGCGGCCCCUGUCUAAGUGCCCUGGAACGGGCCGUCAGAGAGGGUGAGAAUCCCGUCUGGGAUGGGGUGUCCGCGCCCGUGUGAAGCUCCUUCGACGAGUCGAGUUGUUUGGGAAUGCAGCUCUAAAUGGGUGGUAAAUUUCAUCUAAAGCUAAAUACUGGCCGGAGACCGAUAGCGCACAAGUAGAGUGAUCGAAAGAUGAAAAGCACUUUGAAAGAGAGUUAAAAAGCACGUGAAAUUGUUGAAAGGGAAGCGCUUGCGACCAGACUCGCCUCCAGGGUUCAGCCGGCAUUCGUGCCGGUGUACUUCCCUGGGGCGGGCCAGCGUCGGUUUGGGCGGCCGGUCAAAGGCUCCCGAAUGUAGUGCCCUCCGGGGCACCUUAUAGCGGAGUGCAAUGCGGCCAGCCUGGACCGAGGAACGCGCUUCGGCACGGACGCUGGCAUAAUGGUCGUAAACGACCCGUCUUGAAACACGGACCAAGGAGUCUAACAUCUACGCGAGUGUUCGGGUGUCAAACCCGUACGCGCAGUGAAAGCGAACGGAGGUGGGAGCCCCCUCGUGGGGCGCACCAUCGACCGAUCCUGAUGUCUUCGGAUGGAUUUGAGUAAGAGCGUAAAUGUGGGGACCCGAAAGAUGGUGAACUAUGCCUGAAUAGGGCGAAGCCAGAGGAAACUCUGGUGGAGGCUCGCAGC
rnacentral:ncRNA from 1 species